CUGCUUUGAUGAAGUUUUCGGAUGGAUUUAAACAGCUUAGUGGCGGACGGGUGAGUAACGCGUGGGUAACCUGCCUUUCAGAGGGGGACAACAGUUGGAAACGACUGCUAAUACCGCAUAAGCGCACGGUAUCGCAUGAUACAGUGUGAAAAACUCCGGUGGUAUAAGAUGGACCCGCGUCUGAUUAGCUAGUUGGCAGGGCAACGGCCUACCAAGGCGACGAUCAGUAGGGGUUCUGAGAGGAAGGUCCCCACAUUGGGACUGAGACACGGCCCAAACUCC
rnacentral:rRNA from 1 species